rnacentral:rRNA from 1 species
AUUGAACGCUGGCGGCAGGCCUAACACAUGCAAGUCGAACGAGUGGCGGACGGGUGAGUAAUGUCUGGGAAACUGCCUGAUGGAGGGGGAUAACUACUGGAAACGGUAGCUAAUACCGCAUACCAUCAAAUGUGCCAAGAUGGGCUUAGCUUGUUGGUGGGGUAACGGCUCAACAAGGAGACGAUCCCUAGCUGGGCUGCGAGGAUGACCAGCCACACUGGAACGUAGACACGGUCCAGAAUCCUACGGGAGGCAGCAGGGGGGAAUAUUGCACAAGGGGCGCAAGCCUGAUGCAGCCAGGCCGCGUGUAUGAAGAAGGCCGUCGGGGUGUAAAGUACUUUCAGCGGGGAGGCGUUACCCGCAGAAGAAGCACCGGCUAACUCCGUGCCAGCCGCCGCGGUAAUAC